AAAUAAUUUAUUAAACAAAAUUAUUCGCCAGAGAACUACUAGCAACAGCUUAAAACUCAAAGGACUUGGCGGUGCUUUAGACCCCUCUAGAGGAGCCUGUUCUGUAAUCGAUAAACCCCGAUAGACCUCACCACCUCUUGCUAAUCCAGUCUAUAUACCGCCAUCUUCAGCAAACCCUUAAAAGGAACAAGAGUAAGCACAAUCAUCCCACAUAAAAAAGUUAGGUCAAGGUGUAAUCCAUGGGGUGGGAAGAAAUGGGCUACAUUUUCUUUUCAAGAACACUUACGAAAGUUUUUAUGAAACUAAAAACUAAAGGUGGAUUUAGCAGUAAACCAAGAAUAGAGAG
rnacentral:rRNA from 1 species